rnacentral:rRNA from 1 species
UCAGGUGGCCGCAGAGAAUAGGCCCAAGCGACUGUUUACCAAAAACAUAGGUUUCUGCUAAGUCGCAAGACGAUGUAUAGGAGCUGACGCCUGCCCGGUGCUGGAAGGUUAAGGGGAUCUGUUAGAGUAAUCGAAGCAGUGAACUUAAGCCCCAGUAAACGGCGGCCGUAACUAUAACGGUCCUAAGGUAGCGAAAUUCCUUGUCGGGUAAGUUCCGACCCGC